rnacentral:rRNA from 1 species
ACGGAGCCAUCCUUGAAAUACCACCCUUUAACGUUUGAUGUUCUAACCCGGGUCCAUAAUCUGGAUCGGGGACCGUGUCUGGUGGGUAGUUUGACUGGGGCGGUCUCCUCCCAAAGAGUAACGGAGGAGCACGAAGGUUGGCUAAGCAUGGUCGGACAUCAUGCGGUUAGUGCAAAGGCAUAAGCCAGCUUGACUGCGAGAGUGACGGCUCGAGCAGGUACGAAAGUAGGUCUUAGUGAUCCGGUGGUUCUGAAUGGAAGGGCCAUCGCUCAACGGAUAAAAGGUACUCCGGGGAUAACAGGCUGAUACCGCCCAAGAGUUCAUAUCGACGGCGGUGUUUGGCACCUCGAUGUCGGCUCAUCACAUCCUGGGGCUGAAGUAGGUCCCAAGGGUAUGGCUGUUCGCCAUUUAAAGUGGUACGCGAGCUGGGUUUAGAACGUCGUGAGACAGUUCGGUCCCUAUCUGCCGUGGGCGCUGGAAGAUUGAGAGGGGUUGCUCCUAGUACGAGAGGACCGGAGUGAACGCACCACUGGUGUACGGGUUGUGAUGCCAAUUGCAUUGCCCGGUAGCUAAGUGCGGAAGAGAUAACCGCUGAAAGCAUCUAAGCGGGAAACUUGCCUCGAGAUGAGUCUUCCCUGACCCUUUAAGGGUCCUGAAGGAACGUUUGAGACUAAGACGUUGAUAGGCUGGGUGUGUAAGCGCAGCGAUGCGUUGAG